rnacentral:lncRNA from 1 species
UUAAGAACCCAAAUAAUUAAAAUAGACACUGAAAUCCUAGUGUCCCCAAAAUUCUUUGCGUUUGGUUCUUCGCUAAUUUGCACUCUUUGCAAUAUUCAUUCUCUCUCGUUCUAUCCAAAAGCUUUACUAGUCUUUCUUUUUUCUUAUUAUUUCCAGGAAAUUUGCUGUUUUAUUAAUUGUUAGUUAAUUUCCAUGAAAUUUGAUGUUUUAUUUAAGUGAUGUGAAAGUGGUAUGAAGAACAUACCUAUAACAUAAAUAAAAUUGGUGGAUCAUAAUUUACAUGCAUUACUUUCUUUCUUGCAUUAGUGAUUUUACAAAAACUACUAGGUUGUUGUACAAAUAAUCGAAUAUGAUUCACCCUUUACUUAAUUCUUAAAAUACAAUUAUCCCAACAAGUCAAAAUCUAUAGGGCUCAUGGGAUAAAUCUUCAUAAGGUUAUAAAAAUAUUCCUUGGGUCCAAAAUAAGCUUUAUUUUAAUACAAUAUUUGCACCAAACAAAAAAUAUAAGAAAAAUUUCUUUGAAUUAUGUAAUUCCAAACUUUAUUGUCCUCACCCCGAACACAUCCUAGCUUUAAAAUUUGCCAUUCAUUAAGUAGUGUGGUGGCAGCAGCCAGUCCAUGCAUCUCAACUACCACUCUUUUAUUAUUUUGGGUGGUGGGGAAUAAAAUCCCAAUUUACCAACACAUCAAUCCCUUCGACACGUACUUUUCCUACACAUCAAUCAUAGUUUUGGCCUAAAAGCAAACACGUUAUUCUUUCGGGUCCGCCUGAUUUACAUUUAACGUAACUUACGGCUGACCCUAAAAAUAUCAUUCAGUCCCUUAUAUUAUAUAUUUUUUAGAAUUUAUUCAUAAGUAAUAUAA